AGAUUGAACGCUGGCGGCAUGCUUUACGCAUGCAAGUCGUGCGGCAGCGCGGGGGCAACCCUGGCGGCGAGCGGCGAACGGGUGAGGAAUACAUCGGAACGUGCCCCGGAGUGGGGGAUAACCCAGCGAAAGUUGGACUAAUACCGCAUAUGCUCUGAGGGGGAAAGCAGGGGACUUCGCAAGAGGCCUUGCGCUCUGGGAGCGGCCGAUGUCCGAUUAGCUAGUUGGUGGGGUAAUGGCUCACCAAGGCGACGAUCGGUAGCUGGUCUGAGAGGAUGAUCAGCCACACUGGGACUGAGACACGGCCCAGACUCCUACGGGAGGCAGCGAGUGGGGAAUUUUGGACAAGUGGGGGCAACCCGUGAUCCAGCCAUGCCGCGUGCGGGAAGAAGGCCUGGUUGUAACGUCUUUAGGUCGGAAGAAGGCGAGCGUGAAGUACGG
rnacentral:rRNA from 1 species